GGAUUAGAUACCCUGGUAGUCUACGCUGUAAACGAUGUCGAUUUGGGGGUUGAGCUUUAAGUUUGGCGCCCGUAGCUAACGUGAUAAAUCGACCGCCUGGGGAGUACGGCCGCAAGGUUAAAACUCAAAUGAAUUGACGGGGGCCCGCACAAGCGGUGGAGCAUGUGGUUUAAUUCGAUGCAACGCGAAGAACCUUACCUACUCUUGACAUCCAGAGAACUUUCCAGAGAUGGAUUGGUGCCUUCGGGAGCUCUGAGACAGGUGCUGCAUGGCUGUCGUCAGCUCGUGCCG
rnacentral:rRNA from 1 species